rnacentral:rRNA from 1 species
UACGGAGGGGGCUAGCGUUGUUCGGAAUUACUGGGCGUAAAGCGCGCGUAGGCGGCUUUGUAAGUUAGAGGUGAAAGCCCGGAGCUCAACUCCGGAAUUGCCUUUAAGACUGCAUCGCUAGAAUCAUGGAGAGGUUAGUGGAAUUCCGAGUGUAGAGGUGAAAUUCGUAGAUAUUCGGAAGAACACCAGUGGCGAAGGCAGCCCCCUGGGUCAAGAUUGACGCUCAUGCACGAAAGCGUGGGGAGCAAACAGG